rnacentral:tmRNA from 1 species
GGGGUCGUUAAGGAUUCGACUGGUAUAGUUCGAGCCUGAAUUGCGUUCCGUAGCAACGCUACGUAAAAAACGAUUCAGUUUUUAACUGCAAAUAAUAAUAAUUCUUACGCUGUAGCUGCUUAAAUAAAGUUAGCUCUGCGUGAUCCGCUCAGCUUGGCCUAGAAGCUGGAUACGGGUUUUAUAUAUUAUAGGAUACGCUAGUCACUCCGACCUGAAGUAACUAGAAGAGAUCAAUCAGGAUAGUCAGCCAAUGAAAACCUUGAGAUGCGGUGUUUUUGGUUGGCGAAUUUCUAAAUAGUAUCGCUAUGAGCGUAGAGACUCGGGUGGCGAUAUGCUAGGACGCGGGUUCGACUCCCGCCGACUCCA